AUUGAGUACUUGGAGGAUAGCUGCCAGAGGUUCUCUAUUCUCUCAUAAAAACAACAAACUGGCUGCCAUCCAGUCAGUGCUGACUCAUAGCGACUCCCUGUGGCUUUCCCAGACUGCAACUGUUGCCCAGUUGUUCUCCUGCAGCGCUGCUGAUGGUUUCAAACUGCUGACAUAGGGUGCUGUGUGGGUCAUGGCCCCACGUGUAGCCAUGACACCACUCUCAGAAGUCCUAUGUCUUAGAAGAAAUGGACUGACAAUGGACACGAGUGAGCUAUUCUUAAAGACUGACAAACCUCCACAAAAUGUCGCGGACGCCUGUGGAUGAUGGAGCUCCCUGUCGAUUUCCAGAGUGUGCUUCCAAGCCCCUCCAGGGAACAUGACCCUUCUGCUCUGUGUUGACAUGCUUGAAGAACGUCCACCCCUCAGCCUGUGCCUCCCACCCAACCCUCGCCAUGGUCUUCUCAGCAAUGUGGGCUGCGUCCCGCCCCGCGGCACCCAACACCACAGUGGUGGUCUAUGAAAACGCCUACCUGAACGUGACGGGUCCUCCACCGUUGCAGCACCCCAGCAUCGGGCCACUGCUUAGACACAGUCUAGAAUCCAUGGCUCCGACUGGGCUGAGCUCCUGGACAGCGAACAGCACAGCGGGACCCCCCACACCAGCAGGCUUUAAGAGCCUGAACUUGCCUCUCCAGAUCUUCUUUUCUGCUGUCAUGAUGUUUAUUCUGGUGGUGGCUUUUCUGGGGAACCUGGUGGUUUGCCUCAUGGUUUACCAAAAAGCUGCCAUGCGAUCUGCAAUUAACAUCCUCCUUGCCAGCCUGGCUUUUGCAGACAUGUUGCUUGCAGCGCUGAACAUGCCCUUUGCCCUGGUUACUGUUCUCACUACCAGAUGGAUUUUUGGGAAGUUCUUCUGUCGGAUAUCUGCUAUGUUUUUUUGGCUGUUUGUGAUCGAGGGCGUCGCCAUCCUGCUCAUCAUUAGCAUUGAUCGCUUCCUUAUUAUAGUGCAGAGGCAGGAUAAGCUAAAUCCGUAUAGGGCUAAGGUUCUGAUAGCUGUUUCUUGGGCAGCUUCCUUUUGUAUAGCUUUCCCUUUGGCUGUAGGAAACCCUGACCUCCAGAUCCCUCCCCGAGCCCCUCAGUGUGUAUUUGGGUUCACAACGAAUUCUGGAUACCAAGCUUAUGUGAUCUUGAUUUCCCUCAUUUCUUUCUUUAUACCAUUUCUGGUGAUCCUGUAUUCGUUCAUGGGCAUACUCAACACCCUUCGGCACAACGCCCUGAGGAUCCACAGCUAUCCUGAGGGCAUAUGCCUCAGCCAGGCCAGCAAACUGGGUCUGAUGAGUCUCCAGAGGCCUUUCCAGAUGAGCAUUGACAUGGGCUUUAAAACACGUGCCUUCACCACCAUCUUGAAUCUCUUCGCUGUCUUCAUUGUCUGCUGGGCACCCUUCACCACGUACAGCCUUGUGGCCACGUUUAAUGAGCACUUUUAUUAUAAGCACACCUUUUUCGAGAUAAGCACCUGGUUGCUCUGGCUCUGCUACCUCAAGUCUGCCUUGAACCCGCUGAUUUACUACUGGAGGAUUAAGAAAUUCCACGAUGCCUGCCUGGACAUGAUGCCUAAGUCCUUCAAGUGUUUGCCUCGUCUUCCUGGUCAUACACGGCGACGAAUACGCCCCAGUGCCGUCUAUGUGUGUGAGCACCGGACUGUGGUGUGACUGUCGGAACAGUUGGACCUUUUCGGUGAUGGUUGUCAUUGAUCUGACCUUGAAUUUUAUUUCACAUGGCUUUCUCACAUAGACUUAUUGUUUCCAUAAGAUUUGUGGGGUGUGCAUGCACAUGCGCGCGCGCUUGCGCGCAGUGUGGAAAAGGAUGGCAAUCCGUUCUAAUUCUGUUACCAAGGAUUGGUGUCCGGUUUGUGGGGGCGCGUCCCACUCCUGGCACCUUCCUGCGUGCCGAGUAGAACUACUCAUAGGGUUUCGGUGGCUGUGACUUCUCCGAGGCACAUCUCCAGGCCUGCCCUCCAAGACACCGCUGGAUGGGUUUCGCACUGCCAGUCUUGGCUCGUGGUCCAGCAUCUAAUCGUUUGUGCCCCCCAAGCAUUCCUGUUCUAAAGGGGACACAGUGGGAGAGGGACCACAAAUUUUACCAACCGAGUUUAAGCGAAAGCCUUGCUUUAAGGUGGACAGGCAUAUCUUUGCUUGAUUUUAUUUUUGAAACGAGAAUCAAGGUUACACUUUUUUGAGCCUGAGAUUGCGUUACAUUGUAGGUGUUUUUAUAUGCUGCUAAAGUGUGCUAAGUUGAGUUUAUCAGUUUUUUUUCUUUCUCUUGGAAGACACUGCUGCUUUUACCCAUCACAUUGGAGCCAAAACCCCAUAAUCUCAAUAGGAGGGUAUGGAUCUUGGAAGAGCCCAGCCGACCAGCAUCACUCUGUGGUCUGCAGUAUUACUUGGUCACGUUGUCCUUCGUUAGCUGUUUCUCACCACUGAAGGUCGGAAGAGUGUGCCGCGUGGCGUCAGGAUUUGGGACUUUGAGGGAUUGAUGACAUCAUGAAAGAGGAGGAAAACUCUGCUCUUGAGGCCGUUGUGUCUGCCCUGGAGCUCACGGUUUGUUAGGGAACUCAAGUUUUGGUAUCAUCUUCAGAUGAUAGUCACCUACCUCUUUAAUUUCCAUUUUUAUAUUAUUCUUAUUCGCAGGUAAAAUUGUCCAUAAUCUUAACAGAACUUACGUACUGUAGUAGAUACAAGUAGCACGUUGGAUUGUACCAUGCUUCUCAUCGUUGCUCCAAACUGGAUUUGAAGCUGAUAAAUGAUAUAUCUAUGACAUUAGACUUUCUCGCAGGAAAGUUGGCAUGCUCUGCGUUCAUCUUCCGUGUUCACAGUGGGUCUUGACACGCCUUUUGUGGCUGGAGUUGAAAUGGAACUUCGUUUUCUUUGUUCAUUUUGAGCAAAUUCAGCAACCACACAGGACUGCCGUUCUCAUGACACUGGAUCACCUUGCUCAGAGAACAGUUUACACACCAUUUUGAACCUUUUAAUUAUGUGUUCGUUUGGAAGUACCAGAGGUACUGCGCCGAACCUUUGACAUGUUUCGGUGCAGAAUAAUUCUGUGUUGCCUGUGUUCCUUCAUACUUUCUUCAGGGGAAAAAAAUGCCACUACUGAUGUCACUGCUGACCUGCUUAGGGAGGAGUUGCUGUUUUGUUUUGACUCCUCCCUCUCCCCCCCAAUAAGGAAGAAGCAUGAAAGUGAUGGUGAGAUAUUUGUGGCCAGUAGAAAGGGGAGAAAUCCUAUGUCGUCUCAAAAAGUGAACUUCAAAUGUUAGCAAUCCCAGAGCCACGUCACUUGUUAACCAUGCAGGUUCUUGGGUCCCCAGAGCACUUAGGGUUCAGCCCAAGGAUCCAUAUUUUUAAAUUACUGCACACUCUUCCCGAUUCCGAUUCAGGUGCUCCCACUGGCAGAUCCCAAGAAGCACCCCUGUAGAGCCUAUGCCUGUUAAGGCAUCUGUUUCAUCUGAAAAUGCUUGCCUCGUGCUGGAAGCCACCGUCUUGUAGAUGCCUGCUCAAUCCACACUGAGAGAAAAAUCCACUCGUCUUUGUGCCUAAUUUGCAGCCAAGCGUGUUCGUGUUGAACCCGCCAGUGUUAGCUUCCCUUCCCUUCAGCUGGCAAGUCCUGAUUAACCGUACCCUCGAUGGGAGAGUGGAAAGGGACAUAAAGGUGGAAGUUAAGACUUUGAGGAGUCGUACUCUCUUUUCCCUUAGAAAGAUUUCUUUCUGGUAUGUAACAUACUGACACGAGUGUGAGAGGAAUGUAAAGGUGCGGCUAAAUCUAUUGCUUCUGCUUACCCCAGUCAUGUCCAGUGGAAGCAUGAAGUGAAAUAAAAUAAUCUUUUUAAUCUAUGUAUUUCUGUUGUGGACAGCAAUGUUUAAUUCUUCUCCAUCUCUGUGUUUACAUGAAAACAUUGGUGUAUAUAUCAAGGACAGUUCUUGGAAUUUUAGUUUAAGUUUAAAGGGCUGCUGAAUUUGAAUUUGUUUUUUACAGGCAUAAUUCCUAUAAACCGCCUUCAUCAAAAACUCAGUUUUCAUCAGAGUGAACAAAUUUAUGAAAGCACACAUUUGUUAUAGCAAGCAAAUGGUAACAAAUUUCUCUACUAUCCGAUCUACUGGUACUAGUCCUUUGUCAUGAAAAUUAAUUUAUUGUAAAAUAGCUGAUGGGUAUGGGAGACAUGCUCCUGGCAUUUUGGGUGGUUAAGAUUUAAAUUUCAAGAGAAGUAUGGUUCUUUGUGCAUGUUCUUCCUACCACCAGGAAAAUCCUGCCCAGCAAGAAAAGCCUUCCAUGUUGAAGCAUUUCUAAAGUGGCGUUUUCCUGGUUUUGUUUUUUUCAAAGGACGGCGUCACCUUUCCUUAGAAAAGUCUCUCAUGAAUCAUACUUUCUGUUACAUUAAAAUGUGAAUCUAGCAU